CAACCAUAUCACAUUCAAUCACUGGUACUCAUAUGAUCACCAAAGUUAAGCAAUGUCAAGCCUGGUCAGUACCUAGAUGGGUGACCACUUGUGAAUACCAAGUGCUAU